GGCGGCGUGCCUAAUACAUGCAAGUCGAACGCACUUUCGUUGAAUGAAUUAGAGGUGCUUGCACCGAAGAUGAUUUUAGCUAUAAAGUGAGUGGCGAACGGGUGAGUAACACGUGGGUAACCUGCCCAGAAGUGGGGGAUAACACCUGGAAACAGAUGCUAAUACCGCAUAACAAAGUAAACCGCAUGGUUUACUUUUAAAAGAUGGCUUCGGCUAUCACUUCUGGAUGGACCCGCGGCGUAUUAGCUAGUUGGUGAGAUAAAGGCUCACCAAGGCAGUGAUACGUAGCCGACCUGAGAGGGUAAUCGGCCACAUUGGGACUGAGACACGGCCCAGACUCCUACGGGAGGCAGCAGUAGGGAAUCUUCCACAAUGGACGAAAGUCUGAUGGAGCAACGCCGCGUGAGUGAUGAAGGCUUUAGGGUCGUAAAACUCUGUUGUUGGAGAAGAACGUGUGUGAGAGUAACUGCUCAUGCAGUGACGGUAUCCAACCAGAAAGCCACGGCUAACUACGUGCCAGCAGCCGCGGUAAUACGUAGGUGGCAAGCGUUAUCCGGAUUUAUUGGGCGUAAAGCGAGCGCAGGCGGUCUUUUAAGUCUAAUGUGAAAGCCUUCGGCUUAACCGAAGAAGUGCAUUGGAAACUGGAAGACUUGAGUGCAGAAGAGGACAGUGGAACUCCAUGUGUAGCGGUGAAAU
rnacentral:rRNA from 1 species